CGAUAUUAUGCAUUUUUUAAUUCUAUUAAAUGAACUUAAAAAUAUUGUGUCAGACUUAUUCCGAAUUAUGUUUAACAAAAUGACUUGAAAUUUGAACUUUAGCCUUACAGUGAUAAAUUUUCAGAUCUGUCGAGCACCUACUUCAUGUUUUCUUUUACUUUAAAUUAGGAGUGGGGUUAUGCUCAGCACGACAACACAUACAAUCUUGAAAGUUUUGAUUAAACAUGUAUAUAUCAGGC
rnacentral:lncRNA from 1 species